AGCGCAGACGGUUAUUUAAGUCUGAAGUGAAAGCCCUCAGCUCAACUGAGGAAUUGCUUUGGAAACUGGAUGACUUGAGUGCAGUAGAGGAAAGUGGGACUCCAUGUGUAGCGGUGAAAUGCGUAGAUAUAUGGAAGAACACCAGUGGCGAAGGCGGCUUUCUGGACUGUAACUGACGUUGAGGCUCGAAAGUGUGGGUAGCAAACA
rnacentral:rRNA from 1 species